rnacentral:rRNA from 1 species
AAUCAACGCUGGCGGCGUGCCUAACACAUGCAAGUCGAACGAGAAAGUCCCGCAAGGGAUGAGUACAGUGGCGUACGGGUGAGUAACACGUGGAUAACCUGCCUUCAAAUGGGGAAUAACCCUGGGAAACCGGGGCUAAGACCGCAUAACACUUGGGAGCUUCAGCUCCAGAGUUGAAAUCCGCACGGAGUUGGAAGAGGGGUCCGCGGCUGAUUAGCUAGUUGGCGGGGUAAUGGCCCACCAAGGCUUUGAUCAGUAGCCGGCCUGAGAGGGCGGACGGGCACACUGGAACUGCAACACGGUCCAGACUCCUACGGGAGGCAGCAGUGGGGAAUUUUGCGCAAUGGGGGAAACCCUGACGCAGCAACGCCGCGUGGACGAUGAAGCUUCUUGGAGUGUAAAGUCCUUUCGGCAGGGAAGAAUCCUCGCAAGAGGUUGACGGUACCUGAAGAAGAAGCCCCGGCUAACUCCGUGCCAGCAGCCGCAGUAAAAC